rnacentral:rRNA from 1 species
UGGGGAAUAUUGCACAAUGGGCGCAAGCCUGAUGCAGCCAUGCCACGUGUAUGAAGAAGGCCUUCGGGUUGUAAAGUACUUUCAGUCGGGAGGAAGGUGUCAAGGUUAAUAACCUUGGCAAUUGACGUUACCGACAGAAGAAGCACCGGCUAACUCCGUGCCAGCAGCCGCGGUAAUACGGAGGGUGCAAGCGUUAAUCGGACUUACUGGGCGUAAAGCGCACGCAGGCGGUUGAUUGAGUCAGAUGUGAAAUCCCCGGGCUUAACCAGGGAAUUGCAUCUGAUACUGGUCAGCUAGAGUCUUGUAGAGGGGGGUAGAAUUCCAUGUGUAGCGGUGAAAUGCGUAGAGAUGUGGAGGAAGACCGGUGGCGAAGGCGGCCCCCUGGACAAAGACUGACGCUCAGGUGCGAAAGCGUGGGGAGCAAACAGG